CCUACGGGAGGCAGCAGUGGGGAAUUUUGGACAAUGGGCGAAAGCCUGAUCCAGCAAUGCCGCGUGCAGGAAGAAGGCCUUCGGGUUGUAAACUGCUUUUGUACGGAACGAAACGGUCUGCUUUAAUACAGUGGGCUAAUGACGGUACCGUAAGAAUAAGCACCGGCUAACUACGUGCCAGCAGCCGCGGUAAUACGUAGGGUGCGAGCGUUAAUCGGAACUACUGGGCGUAAAGCGUGCGCAGGCGGUUAUAUAAGACAGUUGUGAAAUCCCCGGGCUCAACCUGGGAAUUGCAUCUGUGACUGUAUAGCUAGAGUACGGUAGAGGGGGAUGGAAUUCCGCGUGUAGCAGUGAAAUGCGUAGAUAUGCGGAGGAACACCGAUGGCGAAGGCAAUCCCCUGGACCUGUACUGACGCUCAUGCACGAAAGCGUGGGGAGCAAACAGGAUUAGAUACCCUGGUAGUCCCACGACCUAACGAUGUCACUGUGUUGGUGNNUAUACUCAGUACGAGCACGCGUGAGUAGACCGCCGUGGAGGUACGGCCGCGAGGUAGAACGUUAAAGUAAGUUAGACGGCGUGAGAGUGCCGACGGACGACGACGAGGGAGGAGG
rnacentral:rRNA from 1 species